rnacentral:rRNA from 1 species
AUUGAACGCUGGCGGCAGGCCUAACACAUGCAAGUCGAGCGAGCGGCGGACGGGUGAGUAAUGUAUGUGGGCUGCCCGAUAGAGGGGGAGAACUACUGGAAACGGUAGCUACUACCGCAUACUAUCGGAUCACCCAUAGGGGAUGAGCUAGUAGGUGAGGUAAUGGCGCACCUAGGCGACGAUCCCUAGCUGGUCUGAGAGGAUGAUCAGCCACACUGGGACUGAGACACGGCCCAGACUCCUACGGAGGCAGCAGUGGGGAAUAGUGCACAAUGGGCGCAAGCCUGAUGCAGCCAUGCCGCGUGUGUGAAGAAGGCCCUAGGAUUGUAAAGUACUUUCAGUCGGGAGGCGUUACCGACAGAAGAAGCACCGGCUAACUCCGUGCCAGCAGCCGCGGUAAUAC